GUCUAUGGCCAUACCACCCUGAACGCGCCCAUCUCGUCUGAUCUCAGAAGCUAAGCAAGGUCAGGCCUGGUUAGUACUUGUAUGGGAGAGAAGGAUGGACGGGUCAGAGAAA
rnacentral:rRNA from 1 species